GGGGAGCCUCGUGCGCGCGCGGCGGGGCCCGGCGCGGCCGCUGCCUCCCCGACCCCCCCGCCGGCUGGGCAGCCCUGGAAGUCCCUGGAAAUCCCUGCCGAAUCCUGUGUCGCCGCCGCCCACUUGUCUCCCGUGGGCGGCUGAGGAUGGAAAACACCGUGCUGUCGCGCGGGAGGGCCGAGCCGCGGGGGGCGGAGCGGCGGCAGGGGACGUGCGGCUGCGCCGGAGGCCCGGAUUGAACAACAUGCGCAAGUAGACGUGGAUAUCCAGUUAGGAAGAUCAUUCUGCCAUCUCUCUUCAGAGCUGAGAAGAAGCUUCAUCAUCCAGGUCUAGCAGAAAACUCUAUUCAAGCAUGUACAGUUCUCCAGAUCUGCUCUAACUCCUGUCAUCCAUUGUCAAAACAAAAGUAAGGUGAAUGAAAAGACGCUGUGUGCAAAGGCACAGAAACAAAUUCUAAUGUAGCUGUUUUAAUUAUGGAUAUUUAUUGUUCUGUGGGUUACUUGCCAUUCAUUUUCCCUGCUGACAAACAUCUGAAGACGUGUUUUGAAUGUCACUUGACUUCUUCAACCACAUUUGUCAUACUAGUAUCUAUUUAUAUAGAGAUUCAGUCAGCUUGAGAAAAAAUUAGAAGAUGGUGGCCCUGAGAUCUAAAGAAUCAGAAUCUUCUUUGCUGGAAGUUACUUCUGCCUGAGUUUUUAAACUGAUGCUUUCUGAAGGCCAGGAAAUCGAAUAAAAAAAAAAAUAAAAGCAGGAUGUAAUGUUGUGUCUGCAUGUAGUCCAGAAAGCCCAUGUAAAAAAAUUCUCCAGUACAGCAGUGAAAGAGAGAUGAACAAAUGUGGAAUAGGUUAUAAUCAAAAAGCCAUGGAAAUAUAAAUAGAUAACCAGAUCCAUAAAGCUAAGGUCUACCACAUCUUCAUGUCACUAUCAGGAUGACUAACUUUGGGAUUGAUGAGCCAGAUUGGUUUCAGCAGUAUUCAACACCAAAAGCAGCAUGACAACCCCUUCUUCAUUUACUACUGGAGCUUCUUCAUCUGCUCUCCCUGGGGAAAAAAAAAUCAUGCUGACAAAGACUUCUUUUGAAAAGCUGGAAGAGGAACAUUUGCUGUGAUAUAUUGAUCCUUUGGAAGCAGCUGAUAGUGGCGAAGCCCACUCCAUCACCUAGGAGUCUGACAAUCCUGGUAACAGGCUGGCCAAACGGCGUGAACCUGAUUUUUGCAUUGCUUACAUCCCUGUGCUAGCAGCUGUUAUCAUAGUAUUAGCCUUCUGUAGUCCUCAUGUAACCUCUUGAAACUUAUAUGGGCUCCAUGCUCUGAGACUACCUGCCAAAUAUUUAAAAAAAGAAUCAUCAUUA